UACGUAGGGUGCAAGCGUUAAUCGGAAUUACUGGGCGUAAAGCGUGCGCAGGCGGUUAUGUAAGACCGAUGUGAAAUCCCCGGGCUUAACCUGGGAAUGGCAUUGGUGACUGCACGGCUAGAGUGUGUCAGAGGGGGGUAGAAUUCCACGUGUAGCAGUGAAAUGCGUAGAGAUGUGGAGGAAUACCGAUGGCGAAGGCAGCCCCCUGGGAUAACACUGACGCUCAUGCACGAAAGCGUGGGGAGCAAACAGG
rnacentral:rRNA from 1 species